CCUACGGGAGGCAGCAGUGAGGAAUAUUGGUCAAUGGGCGGAAGCCUGAACCAGCCAAGUAGCGUGCAGGAUGACGGCCCUACGGGUUGUAAACUGCUUUUAUACGGGAAUAACGCGCCUUACGUGUAGGGAUUUGCAUGUACCGUAUGAAUAAGGACCGGCUAAUUCCGUGCCAGCAGCCGCGGUAAUACGGAGGGUCCGGGCGUUCUCCGGCUGUAAUGGGUUUAAGGGGAGCUUAGGCCGCAUGUCAAGCGUGCUGUGAAAUGUCCGGGCUCAACCCGGGCCUUGCAGCGCGAACUGGCGUGCUUGAGUCCGCGGAAAGCAGGCGGAAUUCGUCGUGUAGCGGUGAAAUGCUUAGAUAUGACGAAGAACCCCGAUUGCGAAGGCAGCUUGCUGCAGCGGAACUGACGCUGAUGCUCGAAAGCGCGGGUAUCGAACAGGAUUAGAUACCCGUGUAGUC
rnacentral:rRNA from 1 species